CCCCACCACCACCCAGGGGGGCACACAUGUAAACACUAAAUAGCUUUGAUUGUUUAACUUUUUCCCCAAUGUGACUAAUUUCACAUUGGAGCUAUAAGCUCAUGCUGGCACAAGUUCGCUGUCUGAUUAUUCUUCUGAUUACUUUGCUAUUACAGUCAGUGUUUUCUGAAAAGUUCCUUUUCCCCUCAUUUUCUGGAGCACUUUUCAUUAUCCCAGAGUACCAGAGUGUCUGAAACAGUUUUGGUAUAUGUACAAAAAUAAUCCCCCUUCCUGGACAGAAUGUAGUGCUUCCCAAGGAGAAAGUUCAGUGAUUAAUGGGUGUGGUUUCCCCAAUUCUUUUUUCUUUUCUCUUUUUUUCAAUUCUGCUAAUCACAUUGGUUCCUAAUACAAGUGUCUACAACACUUAUCCAUAUAAAAACCACCAAUAUCCUGUUGUUUAGACUUCAGUAAAGUCAUUGUUUUCUUUCAGUAAUUAAAGGGGAAAAAAUCUACUAUUACCUUUUACUAGCUACUAACUUUAUUCUAGGUAAGGUGAGAUUUAUGACUUUAUGCCAUAGAUUGGUAAUUAAGAUAACCUAAUGCUUACAUUAUUUUUGCAAAAAAUAAAUUACAUGGGUAUUAGAGAUAAAUGCAAGAACAACUUUAAUGUUAUGAUUCAGAAAAUUCACUAUGAUGACUUCUCAUAGUCUAUGUUACUGCUUGUUAUUAACUGUUUUGUAUUACCAACACAAAACUAGUUUUGAAGAAUUUUAAGGUUACCAAGUCAAGCUCUCAAAAGUUAGAAAAUGUAUAUACACGUGAGGUACAGUCUUUAUUUAUGUGACUACAGUUAAUUUCUCCAUAGGAACCAAACCUCAUGUAGUGCACACUCCUGGCCUCUGUAUAAGCCUUAGUUUGCUAUAGACAAUGACUUGUCAGGCCUCCAAAGACUUCAACAUUCAUACACACUUCUAUCUUGUUAGG